rnacentral:rRNA from 1 species
GUGGGGAAUAUUGGACAAUGGGGGGAACCCUGAUCCAGCCAUGCCGCGUGUGUGAAGAAGGCCUUUUGGUUGUAAAGCACUUUAAGCGAGGAGGAGGCUACCGAGAUUAAUACUCUUGGAUAGUGGACGUUACUCGCAGAAUAAGCACCGGCUAACUCUGUGCCAGCAGCCGCGGUAAUACAGAGGGUGCAAGCGUUAAUCGGAUUUACUGGGCGUAAAGCGCGCGUAGGUGGCAAAUUAAGUCAAAUGUGAAAUCCCCGAGCUUAACUUGGGAAUUGCAUUCGAUACUGGUUGGCUAGAGUAUGGGAGAGGAUGGUAGAAUUCCAGGUGUAGCGGUGAAAUGCGUAGAGAUCUGGAGGAAUACCGAUGGCGAAGGCAGCCAUCUGGCCUAAUACUGACACUGAGGUGCGAAAGCAUGGGGAGCAAACAGGAUUAGAUACCCCAGUAGUCC